UUUUAAAAGGUCCGGGCAGCAGCGCACCGGAGGCUUGAUCUCUGAGCUCCUGGCGCUCAGCGGCUCAGCGCUUCCUCCCGAUCAGCGUAACACCGGAGCGGCGGACCGGCAGCAGCAGGUAGAAAUGAGGACGCAGCAUAUAACUGACCUGCAGCAUAUCAACAGGUCGGCGCACAGUUCUCAAGUGAGAGGCAAAACGCUUCCUCGUCCACCUGCACACUGAGAUAUACAUUUGAAAAUGUAGAACCUCACAAGCCUCUGCUCCACUUCAAAUGGAUUUUGGACUCAGAUUUGAUUGGAUCCUGUUGCUCUGGGGCCAUGAAAGCUUCCAAAGAGCAAAAAACUGAGAUGCCAAGGAUAUAAAUGGAGCCAUAUUGAUGCAAUGACUGAGUUCCCAAAAAAAGGUGUGUGUGUUUCUUAAGAGCUCUUAUCCCCCAAGCAGUACAGCAUGGGUAGCAGCACUCCCCCAUCCUGCCAUUCAUUUCAUCUGCUUCCAAAUGUCACAGACCUUUGUUAAGAUCAGCAAGCAGGGCAACCAUUUGUGUGUGUGGAUCUGAAAUAGUGUGGUUACUGCUGUUCUCUGCAUCUUAUUCGCAUUUAAAACUAUCAAGCCGAGCAAGACGGCCGUCGUUAGACGUCUCAAUCAUCACAAUUAAAGAAAAGAGGUUCAUGAGGCAUGAAAUAGUUCCAUAACAAGGUAGCGACGGAAGCGGACAGCAUUUUUUCUGUCUUUAGCCUGAAAGAAAUAAUUGAUUUUUCUUCUUUUUUUUUUCUUCUUCUUCUAUGGUAGAGCCAAUAAGCAGUCACCGUUAAAGGGGAAAAGGAAGAGAAGAGCAGCGGAGAGGUCAGCAAGGCCGACGCAGGCGAUAUUAGCAGGAAAUAGGUUGGGGCAGGGAACGCUGUAGGCAAGCUGCAGCUAAACAAGCCAUUAUCAUUCAUUCACAGGAGGUUUGUCAUUCACUGCACAACCUCCACAAAAACUGGGUAUUUUUAUAUGCAGCCAUUACUAGGCUUUUGUAGGUUGUGGGGAUUUGUCGUUUUUACUUU